AUGAGUGUCACAGAGAAGUCCAGGCACGGCUAAAACUGAGCAGAAAAUGCAGCCCAGGCUCAGUUGAAAUUCCUGCUCCCCGCGCAUCUAUUCACCCAUUUGCCAAUUUCUGCUGAGUGCUGCUAAUGUCAGGCUGCAGGCAAGGCGAUGGGGUGUGAAAAUGAAAUGCAUUGUCUAUAGAGGAGAAGCAGGCACAGAAAAUGAUAUGGCAUGGAAGUCCGUCACAUGACCAUACCUAGCUGCAAGGGAGCCUGGGAGAUGUGUCUAAGCUGUGUGUCCAGGAGGAACAGGACGCAGGACUUUGUCACUGCCUCAGAAGCUUGGCAUCCUUUAAGCAUCAGGAUCCCCCCCAGCCUCCAGCCCGGGGACUGCAGUUUCCGUCGAGUCACCGAGGUAGGAACUGAUCAGUCGGUAAAGACAGCUGCCGGUGGCCCCCUGUGGGGAGACUGUCAGCUCCAAUUCUAUUUCUCUCCUUCUGUCUUCCUAUCACUGAGGUCUAAAUGAUUAAGGCACAACUUCAGGCAGAUUGAUCUGCAUUUGGGCAUAGCAUCUGCAUGGGUUUCACCCUCGCUUGCCUAUUGAAAAUGACACCUUCAAGGUUUAUCACCUGGAAACGUGCCUCACCCAGGAGUCAUCUGUCUUGAUGUGUGUUGGCGAAGUCCUUGUAACUUUGGUUGGUUUGCUCAUCCAUUCAUUUACUUAAUAAAUCUUUAUUAGCCCCUAUUCGUGGGUACCAUGAACUUUACUCAAGAUGGAAGUGCUGA
rnacentral:lncRNA from 1 species